rnacentral:tRNA from 1 species
GCAGUGGUGGUUCAGUGGUAGAAUUCUCGUCUUCCCUAUGGGAGACCUGGGUUUGAUUCCUGGCCAAUGUA